GAAAAGAAACCAACAGGGAUUGCCCUAGUAACGGCGAGUGAAGCGGCAACAGCUCAAAUUUGAAAUCUGGCUUCGGUCCGAGUUGUAAUUUGCAGAGGAUGUUUUUGGCGCGGUGUCUUCCGAGUUCCCUGGAACGGGACGCCACAGAGGGUGAGAGCCCCGUAUGGAAGACCACCAAGCCUGUGUAAAACUCCUUCAACGAGUCGAGUAGUUUGGGAAUGCUGCUCUAAAUGGGAGGUAAAUCUCUUCUAAAGCUAAAUACCGGCCAGAGACCGAUAGCGCACAAGUAGAGUGAUCGAAAGAUGAAAAGCACCUUGAAAAGGGGGUUAAACAGUACGUGAAAUUGUUGAAAGGGAAGCGCUUGUGACCAGACUUGCGCCGGGCGGCUCAGCAGGGGUUCUCCCCUGUGUAUUCCGCCCGGUUCAGGCCAGCAUCGGUUUUCUUUGGGGGAUAAGAACGGCAGGAAUGUGGCUCUCCUUCGGGCGAGUGUUAUAGCCUGUCGUACGAUACCCUGGAGGGGACCGAGGACCGCGCUUCGGCAAGGAUGCUGGCGUAAUGGUUACUAGCGACCCGUCUU
rnacentral:rRNA from 1 species